AGGCGGAUGCUGACGCUGUUGUUAUGUGUCACGUUGCACACGAUGUCAGUAAAAAGUUAUCAUUGCUGUUCAGUCCUCACGACUUAUUUAGAAGGAGGCUUCAAAAUGCUGUUCCACAAGGUCCUCAACGUCUCCUGAAUACAUUGUGUCUGGGACAAUGUACUCCUCAUAAUCGACCCCCAGAAGCACGAUCACGCCCAUUCCGGAAGACACUCCGAUCACCUCCACCGUCUCCUCAAUGAGCCGCCUUUCUGAAACCUGUGUUUUUACAGUGUUUGGGCGGAGGUGGGUCAGCUCCACAGUGUCUCCAUUUAACACCUCGAUAAGAGCCUCAUCUCUCCACAGAGAAACCUCAACUGCUCUUGAGUUGCAGUUUAGCUUAAAGUCCAGGACGGGCACUUUACCAAAUUGCACCUGUGCCAUCCUCACCUCCUGCAACUACAAAUCACAUACCAGAGGUAACAUUACUGGCGUUCUGUUACAGUGCAGUACUCGAACAUGCCCCUACCAAAAAAGCAUGAAGGUUGCCCACAUAUCUUUCAUGCUAUAUUCUGCAGAUUUAUAAUAUCCCAUAAAGGAUAGUUCAACCCAAAUUGAAUAUUGUCAUAAUUAACUCACCCUCAGGUUGUUCCAAACCUGUAUGAUUUUCUUUGCUCUUCUAAAUCCGAAGGAAGGUGUUUGUAAGAAUGUUUGUAACCUGACAGUUCCGGGGCACCAUAUAUAUAUAAACUGCAGUUUGAUUGAUAUUACUUUUUUUUUCAUACUAUGGAAGUCAGUGGUGACCUAAAACUGCUUGAUUACAAACAUUCUUACAUAUAACAACUUUUGUGUUCAGCAGAACAAAGAAUUUUAUAAAUUAUGAUUACUAUUCCUUUAACGUGUGUUUGACUUUAAGCAGAUUAAGACUGGUGCAUAGUGCUCUACGACAAAGUGACAAGAGCAAUUUGUAAACAUUCAACAUAGUUUUUUUUUUUUAAGGUUUGUUAAAUUUGCAUUUGUUUAUGAGAAUGAAGUCACUGCACUGCAUUACGCAUGAGAUGCCUCUGUUAAAUGUACUUACUUCCUCUAUCUCUCCCAGGAGACUGACGUACCCAUCUUCUGAAGGGUCCACUUUGUCCACGGAGACCAGAGGGGAAUGUGGAACAAGGAUCUCUCUGGCCCUUCUCUCCUGAUCUUCAGUAAGACUCAGUUGGGAUGUUUUAAAUUUGCUUGUGGCUGAUUUUACAAAUAUACUUGGCUUUCCAUACUUGCUAGAUAUGGUGUGGUUUUUCACCACGUAGCUGGCCCCUUCUUCAAAUUCUGGGGUCUCACCUAUGGUGUACCAAAUGAAAAUUAAAUCAGUUCAAAUCAAGUAAUUAAAACUCAUUAAAAAAGUCAGUAUGUGGAUAAAACGUUUAGAGGGUUCAUGAACUGCAUGUUUAAAUGAUCUUCUAAAUUUAAAUACUGCAAUUAAAGGGACGUGUCUCCUUAAAGACUUCAGUGUAAAUGCCCACUGCUAUGAUUAACAUUUUUUCAUACAAAGUCUGUAUUACAUGUGGAACUAUUUUGAAAACUUCCUUUACAUUAGGAUCCUUUGAAAGGUAAUAUUAUUUUUUAAUCCAGUAAUCCUGUUUUCUCUCAUCUGUGAGUUCACACACCAUGUGAAGGGCCAAAGAGGCUUUGAAUAAGUUGAUGCAGUUUUUGUCAUCUCUGUUACAUCAUAAUCAUGAAGUAGAAAAGAAGUCAGAUUGGUAUCUUGUUCUCAAUAAAAGUUUUUCAUGACCCCUUUAAAUAAUUAGUGUAUACUUAAGUCAUAGUUUAAUAUAAUUUUAAGUGAUGUAUAAAUCUGUUCUAUUAUUAAUGAAGAGUAUUGUGCAGAACUUUGAGACAUGUAUUUUAAAACAUUUAUUUUGGCAUGUAUUGCAAUUAUAGUGAUUUAAUUAUGCAUAGGUAUUUUGCACAAUACUGUACUAAAUGUUGUUUUGUUGUUUUCAUCAAAUAUGUAAGUAUAUUCAAAAAUACUCCAUUUUUAGCAGCACAUUAUUGUUGCAUCACAAUCAAUUUAAAUUGUAAAGAAAUAGUCCAAAAAGUUUUCAAGGCAAUCAAAAAUGCUAAAGUUUCAGUGGCCUUGUCUGAUCUGUGUUGUAACAUUGAAUUGUUGUGUGUAAAUGAUGUACAGACAUGCACUGCUCAUUUAGAGCUGUUAAUUAUGACCAAAGUUUUACUUAUAUAUAUAUAUAUAUAGUAUAGUUUUUGAUAAAUGUCUGUUGAGGCCACAACAUUUGGCUUUUAUCCUAAGAUCUUAGUGACAAGCAGCAAUUAUAAUGGACUGUUAAAACUGCACUCUUUGGAGUUUUUC
ensembl:lncRNA